rnacentral:rRNA from 1 species
UACAGAGGGUGCGAGCGUUAAUCGGAAUUACUGGGCGUAAAGCGCGCGUAGGCGGCUUUUCAAGUCGAUUGUGAAAUCCCCGGGCUUAACCUGGGAACUGCAGUCGAGGCUGUCUAGCUAGAGUAUGGGAGAGGGAAGUGGAAUUUCAGGUGUAGCGGUGAAAUGCGUAGAUAUCUGAAGGAACAUCAGUGGCGAAAGCGACUUCCUGGACCAAUACUGACGCUCAUGUGCGAAAGCGUGGGGAGCAAACAGG